rnacentral:misc_RNA from 1 species
UCGGCCGCAUCCCCUGUACUCCCUUCUGCACUUCCUCUCGGACGAGGAGAGGGACCUUCAUGGUGAGCAGCAGACACACGCACACCCACACAUUUGACGGCGGGACUCUCGAACAGAACUUCACAAAACCCCUGCACUCUUUUCGUAGAUGGCGUUCUUCAGCUCCAGGGACGAUUGUCCGCACACCUCGUGCAAGACGCCGGUGCGGCCGCGCAUUCGGGGCGGCCUCACAGCUGGCAGCACAGGGCUCAUGCCCAGCGAGUAUCACAGCGGUCUUGCGGAUGUCAGUCCGCGGCUGUCGUCGCAGCAGCGGUGCAGCGUGCGAGCUGGCUUGUCGAGUGCGCCACGUCACGCCCAGGGCCGGCGGCACCUGGACCCUCACCACUUCACGAACCUCACGGAUGACGCGAAGCGGGCAGAAGGGCGGCUGGGCCGGGCCCACGUGGCUUCAUCAGAGCAGCAGAAGCGCGCCGACGCUUACUACGCCACAAAGCAGGCAACAGUUGCGCAACCGCCGGGCGCGGAGUGCAACCUGUACCUUAAGUCGUACUACUACACGCCUCUGUCGAAGCAGGACACUCCAUCGCCGCCGCCCAGGCCGACGACGGGGUUCCGAGCGGACGCGCAGAGCACCUCCUUUCAGCUCGCCGAGGCUCGCCUGCGCAAGAUCAAGCGCGAACAUCCACAGUAUGAGGAGGAGGUGAUGCGCGCCCUGCAGCAGCAGCACGGCGACUACAGCAUUGUGUCAACUGAGCAGAAAAUCUCGCGCCGCAUUGCCGUAGAGGAGUAUGCCGACGGCACCAACGCGCGAAUGGCGCAAAUCGAGGCUUCCACCAAGUGCCGCGGCACGCCUGACUUGGGCUCCCCAGCGCCGGUCAUCAAGCGUUCUGUUCCGUACGCGCUCAGCGAGGAGUGCCCGCCACGCGCCGACACGCAGCUGCCGUGUACCUCGCACGUCCGCCUGUACCCAGGUCGUGGCCGAAGCUCCUCUCCCCCAGAGACGUCCGUGAAACCACGUGCCCGCCACCUGCACGACGGACCGGCCCCUUAUGACACCACCGCUGUUUCAGGUCAGGCCUACCCGUCACCGCCCGCUGUUGGCGAGAGGUGCAACAUCUACGCAAAGCCCACACUGGUUCACGUGGACGAGCGCCGUCACCGCAACUGUGUGGAGGACGCGGACUCGUUGGCGAUGAAGCGGGCACGCGCCCGCAGCGGUGCCCGUGCUUCACAGGAGCGGCCAGACUUUAUUUUCGGCCCCGGCCCAGCGCCGCAGCCUCGCCCGCCGUCACUGCGCUACCGCACCGAAGCGCGCUGGAAGGCGCAGGAGCGCAAUGCCGAAGAGCGGCGCACCGGCCGCGCGCUCUACCCGCAGUCCUACCAGUCUACUUCGCUUUGGUAGAGAGUUUAAACGCGCGGUUACGUCAGUGCCGCGGCAUUCCGCGCUUGUGCCGCCCCCACCCCCCUCUCUCUAGCCCUUAGCGACUUGGCUGCUUGAUGGCUGUGACCUGUGAUGCAUUGCAGCCGCUCCAUAUGUGAGUGCGUGCGCUGGUGAGCUCAGCUGCCGCUUGUUGUGUGUGUGUGUGUUGUACUUCUUCACCUUCUUUUUGUUUGAUAUAUGUAUUUUUUUUGUUCGGAAGUUGAUAGUGGGGUGGGGUGUGGGGUGUGUGGCGGGAAGGGGGCGAAGGCGGUCAUCGGCUGCGCUAGUCUUUUGCAGUGCGUAAAAUCGUACGGAAUGGCCACCUCCAUCCCAAAUUCGGGUUUCUCAACCCCUCUCAUGCAAUUUCUGGUCGCUCUUCCCAUCCCCACAGGCACCUCUUAGGGUUGCGAAUGGGCCCCCUUUCUCCACCGCUGCCCCCCCCCCUCGUCCAGCAUACCGCGGGCGCGCGUGGGCGCUUCGCUAGAGCACUUCUCUUUUCGUGUGGGUGACGGUCACGUUGCUUUAGAGUACACCGACGGCACUGCCAGUACCCUUAUUUCGUUUGGUGGUGCAUGUGGCCACAAGUGCGAGCGUUGUCUGCCGCGUUCCACCCCCUCCACACUCAUACAUAUCCUUUUCCUUGCGCCUGCUCCUCACCCAACCCCACCCCCUCCCCUCAUGGCCUCUCCUGCCUUCCUUCCUUGUCCUAUGCUGACGCUGAUGCCGCCCCCCCCCCACCCCCCACCACCCCUCUGUACGAAGAUGUGCUCGUUGCCAGCGGAGGGAGAGAGACGCAAGGGGAGGGCAGAGGCUGAGGAAAGCCCCGACGCUCCACUCCAUCAAAAAUGGGCGGUGCAUCCAACGCAGCAGCGGCCGGUGAGGGGUGGUGGAAGAGGCACGGAGGGGGCGCAGAUGCCCCCACCCAUCCCUCUGCUCUCCGAGAAACGGUAUGUUGAUGUGUUCUCCUUCUGUAUCACCCUCCCCUCCCCUAGAUACGAUCGGCUCCCUCGACUGCAUCGUCGCACCGCCGCCUCUCACCAAAUCAAAGGAACUGAUGGCGACAACGCGAAGCGCGCAAAGGAUGUGCAGGUUUGCUUCCGCGCCCCGCUUCUGCUCCCCCACACACCCUGCCUGGCUUUCCAACCUUCAUGAGCCGCUCCUGUUUUUCUUCUGACCGUAGCCUUU